UACGUAGGGACCAAGCGUUGUUCGGAUUUACUGGGCGUAAAGGGCGCGUAGGCGGCGUGACAAGUCACUUGUGAAAUCUCUGAGCUUAACUCAGAACGGCCAAGUGAAACUGUUGUGCUAGAGUGCAGAAGGGGCAAUCGGAAUUCUUGGUGUAGCGGUGAAAUGCGUAGAUAUCUGGAGGAACACCGGUGGCGAAGGCGGCAUCCUGGACCAACACUGACGCUGAGUGAGCGAAAGCCAGGGGAGCAAACGGG
rnacentral:rRNA from 1 species